GACGAACGCUGGCGGCGUGCUUAACACAUGCAAGUCGAACGGAAAGGCCCUGCUUUUGUGGGGUGCUCGAGUGGCGAACGGGUGAGUAACACGUGAGUAACCUGCCCUUGACUUUGGGAUAACUUCAGGAAACUGGGGCUAAUACCGGAUAGGAGCUCCUGCUGCAUGGUGGGGGUUGGAAAGUUUCGGCGGUUGGGGAUGGACUCGCGGCUUAUCAGCUUGUUGGUGGGGUAGUGGCUUACCAAGGCUUUGACGGGUAGCCGGCCUGAGAGGGUGACCGGCCACAUUGGGACUGAGAUACGGCCCAGACUCCUACGGGAGGCAGCAGUGGGGAAUAUUGCACAAUGGGCGGAAGCCCGAUGCAGCAACGCCGCGUGCGGGAUGACGGCCUUCGGGUUGUAAACCGCUUUCGCCUGUGACGAAGCGUGAGUGACGGUAAUGGGUAAAGAAGCACCGGCUAACUAUGUG
rnacentral:rRNA from 1 species